CUCUGGUGGCGAGUGGCGAACGGGUGAGUAAUAUAUCGGAACGUACCCUAGAGUGGGGGAUAACGUAGCGAAAGUUACGCUAAUACCGCAUACGAUCUAAGGAUGAAAGUGGGGGAUCGCAAGACCUCAUGCUCGUGGAGCGGCCGAUAUCUGAUUAGCUAGUUGGUAGGGUAAAAGCCUACCAAGGCAUCGAUCAGUAGCUGGUCUGAGAGGACGACCAGCCACACUGGAACUGAGACACGGUCCAGACUCCUACGGGAGGCAGCAGUGGGGAAUUUUGGACAAUGGGCGAAAGCCUGAUCCAGCAAUGCCGCGUGAGUGAAGAAGGCCUUCGGGUUGUAAAGCUCUUUUGUCAGGGAAGAAACGGUGAGAGCUAAUAUCUCUUGCUAAUGACGGUACCUGAAGAAUAAGCACCGGCUAACUACGUGCCAGCAGCCGCGGUAAUACGUAGGGUGCAAGCGUUAAUCGGAAUUACUGGGCGUAAAGCGUGCGCAGGCGGUUUUGUAAGUCUGAUGUGAAAUCCCCGGGCUCAACCUGGGAAUUGCAUUGGAGACUGCAAGGCUAGAAUCUGGCAGAGGGGGGUAGAAUUCCACGUGUAGCAGUGAAAUGCGUAGAUAUGUGGAGGAACACCGAUGGCGAAGGCAGCCCCCUGGGUCAAGAUUGACGCUCAUGCACGAAAGCGUGGGGAGCAAACAGGAUUAGAUACCCUGGUAGUCCACGCCCUAAACGAUGUCUACUAGUUGUCGGGUCUUAAUUGACUUGGUAACGCAGCUAACGCGUGAAGUAGACCGCCUGGGGAGUACGGUCGCAAGAUUAAAACUCAAAGGAAUUGACGGGGACCCGCACAAGCGG
rnacentral:rRNA from 1 species